rnacentral:rRNA from 2 species
UCAUCGGCCUCAGAUUGGUAGGACUACCCGCUGAACUUAAGCAUAUCA